CAUCGGACCUAGGGCUGGAUUCGAGGCGAGCUUUUUCGGGCUCGAAACGAGCUUAGCUCGAACGAGCCCGAAACGAGCCUGUUAGAAGCGAACACGAAUACGAACACGAGCUGAAGCAAAAAUUAAGAAACGAACGCGAGCCCGAACCCGAACAGAGAAAUGCUCGGCUCGGCUGGCUCGGCGAGCUGAGUUGAGCUCGUUUUAAUAUGUUGUGCUGGGCCUGGCUGGCAGUAUUAUAUGGUCUUCUUUCUGUUGACUUUGUAUUGUGCAGCAGCUUAAAAAAGCUUGCUUUGCUGGCUUUUCUUCAAGGCAAAAACGCUGCCGUUUGGAAGCAAUCAAAAUAAAGCAAACCUAAUCAGUUUUCUUUCAUUGUUUCUGCUGUUCUUUUCUUCUCUGUUGAAAAAAAACCAAAACCUAAACUACGCUGCUGCCGCCCCUCUAUUCGCUCACACACAGUUGAAACACCAAUCAGCCACCACGAUUGCAACGCCGUUCAGCCGCCGACAAGAAAAUGAUGACAGCGACACAAAAGAUGAGAAUGUGGAGGAAGCAUUAUCGGCCAACACCAAGGAAAAAACAUCAGCUGCUAUUGAGACUGAUGGCAAAAGAGCUUGAAGCUUUGAAUUUGGGUGUGCUGUCAACUUUUAGGAUUUUUAUCUACAUCUUAUGUUUGGACAAAACGUAUUUAUUAUGAAAUUGCUUCUAUGGUUGUCUAAUCCUUUCUAUUUUUCUGUUUCACUAAAAAUAUUUGCUUCUAUGAGAAAUUUAUAUGUAUUUUAA